rnacentral:rRNA from 1 species
UACGGAGGGAGCAAGCGUUACUCGGAAUUAUUGGGCGUAAAGGGCGCGUAGGCGAUUCAGUAAGUCUUAUGUGAAAGCCCAGAGCUUAACUCUGGAAGUGCACGAGAUACUGCUGAAAUUGAGUUCCGGAGAGGAAGGCAGAAUUCCCGGUGUAGCGGUGAAAUGCGUAGAUAUCGGGAGGAAUACCAGUGGCGAAGGCGGCCUUCUGGACGGAUACUGACGCUGAGGCGCGAAAGCUAGGGGAGCAAACGGG